GCUGGAGUGGCGCAAUGGUAGCGCAGGAAAUUUGUAAUUUUCAGGUUGCAGGUUCAAGCCCUGUCUCCAGCACCA
rnacentral:tRNA from 2 species